UACGAAGGGGGCUAGCGUUGCUCGGAAUCACUGGGCGUAAAGCGCACGUAGGCGGGUCGCUAAGUCAGGGGUGAAAUCCUGGAGCUUAACUCCAGAACUGCCUUUGAUACUGGCGACCUUGAGUCCGGGAGAGGUGAGUGGGACUGCGAGUGUAGAGGUGAAAUUCGUAGAUAUUCGCAAGAACACCAGUGGCGAAGGCGGCUCACUGGCCCGGUACUGACGCUGAGGUGCGAAAGCGUGGGGAGCAAACAGG
rnacentral:rRNA from 1 species